CCGGCGCACGGUGAGUAACACGUAUGCAAUCCACCUGUAACAGGGGAUAACCCGGAGAAAUCCGGACUAAUACCCCAUAAUAUGGGCGCUCCGCAUGGAGAGCCCAUUAAAGAGAGCAAUUUUGGUUACGGACGAGCAUGCGCUCCAUUAGCCAGUUGGCGGGGUAACGGCCCACCAAAGCGACGAUGGAUAGGGGUUCUGAGAGGAAGGUCCCCCACAUUGGAACUGAGACACGGUCCAA
rnacentral:rRNA from 1 species